AUUUUGCUGAGGAGUCUCACGAUAGGACGAAACGACCGUCCAGUGU
rnacentral:hammerhead_ribozyme from 1 species